UACGUAGGUGGCAAGCGUUGUCCGGAAUUAUUGGGCGUAAAGCGCGCGCAGGCGGUCCUUUAAGUCUGAUGUGAAAGCCCACGGCUCAACCGUGGAGGGUCAUUGGAAACUGGGGGACUUGAGUGCAGGAGAGAAGAGUGGAAUUCCACGUGUAGCGGUGAAAUGCGUAGAGAUGUGGAGGAACACCAGUGGCGAAGGCGACUCUUUGGCCUGUAACUGACGCUGAGGCACGAAAGCCAGGGGAGCAAACGGG
rnacentral:rRNA from 1 species